GACGAACCGUGCGAACGUUAUUCGGAAUCACUGGGCUUAAAGCGCGUGUAGGCGGGCCGGCACGUCGGUCGCUGAAAUCCCCCGGCUCAACCGGGGAAGGGGCGCCGAUACGACCGGCCUGGAGGGGGGGUAGGGGGCGCUGGAACUCACGGUGGAGCGGUGAAAUGCGUUGAGAUCGUGAGGAACGCCCGCGGCGAAAGCGAGCGCCUGGACCCUUUCUGACGCUGAGACGCGAAAGCCAGGGGAGCGAACGGG
rnacentral:rRNA from 1 species